rnacentral:rRNA from 1 species
AUGGCGCCUUCACCAAUUAGCAGUGCAGCUGUGUUGGCCGGGAUGGUGGUCCUCGUGCUGCUGGGGUUGGGCUACCCAGCGGAGGCGACGACGUCAUGCAAGGAUUGUUCGGCGCAGUGCAACUCAACAUGCAGCGCUGCCAAUUUCGCCGGGGCGGGGACGUGCCGCACGGACUGCAGCCCGGCGCCGGCUUGCUUGGGCUGCCUUGGCAGCCUCCCCAUCUACCAAGCCAAGUGCAUUGUGGGAUGCUCAAGUGCGUGCAAAGUCCAAAGAGGUGCUUCAUAUGACUGUGAAAGCUUUUGCAAAGACUACUGCAGCGACCGAAGCGGCUUGUGCAGCAGCGUCUGCGCUGAGUCGCCGGCGUGUAGGGCAUGCAAGGAAAACUAUUCUGGUGGGUGCAAAUCCUGCUGCACCUCUUACUGCAAAUGCCACUGCGUCUAA